GACUAACGCUGGCGGCGUGCCUAAUACAUGCAAGUCGAACGGGAUUCUUUGAUCAGCUUGCUGAGAGAAGGAUCUAGUGGCGGACGGGUGAGUAACGCGUGGGAAUCUGCCUCUUACUGGGGGAUAACAGUGGGAAACUACUGCUAAUACCGCAUAAGAUCUUCGGAUGAAAGGUGCAACUGCACCGGUAAGAGAUGAGCCCGCGUCCCAUUAGCUAGUUGGUGAGGUAAAGGCUCACCAAGGCGACGAUGGGUAGCCGGCCUGAGAGGGUGAACGGCCACACUGGGACUGAGACACGGCCCAGACUCCUACGGGAGGCAGCAGUAGGGAAUCUUCCGCAAUGGGCGCAAGCCUGACGGAGCGACGCCGCGUGAGUGAUGAAGGCCUUGGUCGUAAAGCUCUGUUCUUGUAGGACGAAUAAGACCAGGGAGUGGAAAGACCUGGUGAUGACUGUACUCAAGGAGAAAGCUCCGGCUAACUACGUGCCACG
rnacentral:rRNA from 1 species